rnacentral:rRNA from 1 species
GACGAACCGUGCGAACGUUGUUCGGAAUCACUGGGCGUUAAAGGGCGCGUAGGCGGGCUGUCAAGUCUUGGGGUGAAAUGCCGCGGCUCAACCGUGGAACUGCCUUAGAUACUGACGGCCUCGAGGGAGGUAGGGGCGUGCGGAACUGUAGGUGGAGCGGUGAAAUGCGUUGAUAUCUACAGGAACUCCGGUGGCGAAAGCGGCGCGCUGGACCUCUCUGACGCUGAGGCGCGAAAGCUAGGGGAGCAAACGGG